rnacentral:rRNA from 1 species
AUUGAACGCUGGCGGCAGGCCUAACACAUGCAAGUCGAACGAGUGGCGGACGGGUGAGUAAUGUCUGGGAAACUGCCCGAUGGAGGGGGAUAAAUACUGGAAACGGUAGCUAAUACAGCAUACCAUCGGAUGUGCCCAUAUGGGAAUGGCUAGUAGGUGGGGUAACGGUUCAUCUAGGCGACGAUCCCUAGCUGGUCUGAGAGGAUGACCAGCCAACCUGGAACUUAGACACGGUCCAGACGCCUACGGUAGGCAGCAGUGGGGAAUAUUGCACAAUGGGCUGAAGCCUGAUGCAGCCAUGCCGCGUGUAUGAAGAAGGCCUGCGGGUUGUAAAGUACUUUCAGCGAGGAGGCGUUACUCGCAGAAGAAGCACCGGCUAACUCCGUGCCAGCAGCCGCGGUAAUAC